ACUUCAUUCAAUGUACAAAAAGCACAGAAUAACGAAAACAAAUCAACGGAAAGAUGCAACAAAAAUGAUUUCAAGAAGCAUGAUCAAUACCUCAAGUGAAUGGCUUUGGAUGUUUGCAGGCUUGUUGAAUGUGAGAAGUAACGAGAGAUUUCUAAUAUCUGCAAAUUCCACAGUACAGUACUUGCAGAAAAGGCCUGGCCUUAGCCUUUCGUUCUCUGGCGAUUUUUCCUUUGCCCCCCACAAGUAGCAAGUUCCAGAGGAGAGCAAAGCAGAUGAUG
rnacentral:misc_RNA from 1 species